UCAAUUCCAUUUUUUAUGUAGUUUUAUUUUAUAAACCAAACUAGUGAUAAAAUAAGAAACUAAAAGAUUCAAUUGCGAGUCUAAAGAUAUACCUUCAUGAACUCACCUCCCCGGCAAUGGCGCCAGAAAAGAGCUAGAUGUCUACUAUGCAACUUUAUUCUUGUAGACACGUGUUGGGCCUCCAAGCGCAGAGUUUUGUAGGACAAUAGCAAUUUUCCCUCAAGUGGAUGACCUAAGGUUUAUCAAUCCGUGGGAGGCGCAGGAUGAAGAUAGUCUCUCUCAAACGACCCUGCAACCAAAUACAAGAAAUCUCUUGUGGUCCCAACACACCCAAUACAAUGGCAAAUUGUAUUGGUGAACUAGUUCGGCGAAGAGAUGGUGAUAAAAGUGUAAUAUGGAUGGUAGAAAUAUUUUUUUAUAAUAUGAAUAAAUAAAAACAACAAGGUAGCAAAUAGUAAACAGGCACAAAAACGGUAUUGCAAUGCUUAAAAAUGAGGCCUAGGAUCUGUACUUUCGCUAGUGCAAUCUCCCAGCAGUGCUACAUAGUUGGAUCAUAUGAUUAUCCCUCAAAGUGCAAUAAUGAAUCACUCCCGAGUUCCUAUUAGCGGAGUAUAAAAGAUAGGAAUUUUUUGUAGGGUACGAAACCACCUCAAAGCUAUUCUUUCCAAUCAAUCUAUCCUAGAGUUCGUACUAAAAUAACGCAAGCUAUUCUUUCUGAUCGAUCUAAUCAAGAGUUCAUACUAAAAAAACACCAAAGAAAAUUCAUAUUCAUAAUACUCAAUCCACAUAAAGAACUACAAAGAGACCCCAAAGUUUCUAUUGGAGAAAAGAUAAUAAAAACGUGCAUCAACCCCUAUGCAAAGAUUGCCCCAAUGUCACCUCAGGAAUCCGCGAGUUGAGUGCCAUAACAUACAUCAAGUGAAUCAAUAUGGUACCCCAUUAUCACCUCAAGUAUUCAUACCGCAAGACAUACAUCAUGUGUUCACAUAUCUGAAUAUUCAAUCCGACAAGACAAAACUUCAAAGGGUAAAGAUUCAAUUCAUCACAACAAGAGUAUAGAGGGGAGAAACGUCAUAUGAUCCAUCUAUAUUAACAAAUCCCAUGAUAUAGAUCAUGAGAGAGAGAGAGAUUAAACACGUAGCUACUGGUACAAACCCUCAACCCCGAGGGUAGACUACUCCCUCCUCAUCGUGGUGGCCGCCGAGAUGAUGAAGAUGGUCACCGAAGAUGAUUCCCCCCUCCGGCAGGGUGCCAGAACGGGUCUAGAUUGGUUUCCGGUGGCUAUAGAGUCUUGCAGCGGCCGAACUUCUGAUCUUGGUUUACCCCGAAGGGUUUCGGAAUAUUUGGGAAUUUAUAGUGCAAAGAAGGGAUACGGGAAGCCACCGAGGUGGGCACAACCCACCUGGGCGCGCCAGGGGGGCUGGCGCGCCCUGGUGGGUUGUGCCCCCUUGGGGCACCCCCUACGUGCUGCUUUGGCCCAUCAAGAGUCUUCUAGCCCAUAAAAAAUCAUUAAAAGGUUUUGCGGUUUUUGGACUUCGUUUGAUAUUGAUUUUCUGUAAUGUAAAAAAACAAGCAAAAAAUAGCAACUGGCACUGGGCACUGGGUCAAUAGGUUAGUCCCAAAAAAUGCUAUAAAGUUGCUAUAAAAUGAUUGUAAAACAUCCCAGAAUGAUAAUAUAUUGGCAUGAAUACUUCAUAAGUUAUAGAUACGUUGGAGACGUAUCAAACCUUUGUACCGGAAUCUCAGAUUGGUACAUGUGGGUGACUAGUAGUAUUGAUUACAUCUUGUAGUUGAUUACUAUAUGGUUUAUUUGGAAGAAGAUUAUAUGUUCAGAUUCAUUAUGCUAUUUAAUACCCCUCUGAUCUUGAGCAUGAUUAUCAUUUGUGAGUAGUUACUUUUGUUCUUGAGGUCACGGGAGAAAUCUUGUUACAAGUAAUCAUGUGAACUUGAUAUGUGUUCGAUAUUUUGAUGAUAUGUAUGUUGUGAUUCCCUUAGUGGUGUCAUGUGAAUGUUGACUACAUGACACUUCACCAUAUUUGGGUCUAAGGAAAUGCAUUGUGGAGUAGUUAUUAGAGGAUGGAUUGCUAGAGUGACAGAAGCUUAAACCCUAGUUUAUGCGCUACUUCGUAAGGGACUGAUUUGGACCAAAAGUUUAAUGCUAUGGUUAGAUUUUAUCUUAAUACUUUUCUCGUAGUUGCGGAUGCUUGCGAGGGGGUUAAUCAUAACUAAGAGGUUUGUUCAGGUAAGAACAUCACCUAAGCACCGGUCCACCCACAUGUCAAAUUAUCAAAGUAGCGAACACGAAUCAAACCAACAUGAUGAAAGUGACUAGAUGAAAUUCCGGUGUACCCUCAAGAACUCUUUGCUUAUUAUAAGAAACCGUUUUGGCCUGUCCUUUGCCACAAAAGGAUUGGGCUACCUUGCUGCACUUUAUUUACUGUUAUCAUUACUUGCUCGUUACAAAUUACCUUACUAUCAAACUACUCGUUACCGACAAUUUCAGUGCUUGCAGAAAUUACCUUGCUGAAAACCACUUAUCAUUUCCUGAUGCUCUUCAUUGGAUUCGACACUCUUACUUAUCGAAAGGACUACGAUUGAUCCCCUAUACUUGUGGAUCAUCAGUAAUUAUGUUGUAGUAAGAAUAUUGAUGUUAAGGUUCGUGAUUCCCUAUGCAAGCACGAAAGUCAAUAGUUAUUCAAGGAAGUUAUAUCCUACUUGUGGUGCAUUAUUCAGUGUUAGUUAUGUGUAAUGUGCAUUUAUGAUCGUUUUUGGUUUUGAUUGGUUACUUCUCAAUCUAUUUCCUAGACUUUCCUUGUAUUAAGCGGGAAUACUGCUUGUGCAUCCAAACUCCUUAAACCCAGUUGUGCGAAAUGAGUCGGAACUGGAGAGCUACCGAACAGGUCCUAUUAUCUCGCCUAAAGGUUUUACGUGCGGUGGCGUUUUUCGAGCGGACCCAUUAGCACCUUCUCGUUCGCUGUAGUCGCGGCGUUCGCUCGUUCAGUCGUCGUAGGUUUUUUUUCUCUUUUUUUUGGUUGUACACUACCAGGAGUGGCACAAUUUUAUUUGUUUAUUUCUUUCUAUUAUUUUCCCUCGUUUAUCUUUAUGGUUAUCAUUGGAUGUUCCUUUCCUUUUUUCUAUGUCUUCCUUAUGCUACUCAUCAGUUUUGACUGGUUUUUCUGUUUCAUCACCGGACUUCUUUGUUUUCCUUUUAUUUAUUUUUUAUUUUUGAGUCUCUUCACGAGUCUUCGGUUUUCCCUUUUUUGGUGUUUCUUCACCUUUUUUGUUUUGUUUUUUAGCACAUGUCUACUCUUUACAAAACACACUGUACAAUUUUUAUAUACAUGUGAAACUUUUUUUAACAUAAAACAAACGCAAAUCCUCAUACACUCAUCUUUAUGAAUGCAUGCAUGCACGAGCACCCUAUCUCUAUGUGCACCUCCGACAGAAUGAGUCGACACAUCAUCUUAGAAUGGCGAAGUCAUCACAGGUGUCUCCGUAGUCGACAGGAACGUCUCCUCCAUUGAAUGAACAUCGCUGAAAAGUCUGAAAUAAAUUUAGAAAAAUGCGAGCAACAGCCAAGCCUAGGAUUUGAACCUGAUGGGCUUUGUUCCACCACAAAGAACCUAACUAUCUAAGCUAAGCUCAGUUUUCUACAUGCGAAACAUUUUUGGAUAAACGUCGAACAUUUCUCAGUUACAUGUUCGAACUUUUUUUACACAUGCUAAACAUUAUACAAAUAGAUGUUGAACGUUUUUUUAAUUGCCACCAAACAGUUUUGUUAAACCACACAUAGAUUUUUACAUCAUAUUUUAUAAAUGUCACACACAUUUUUUAAACGCGAGAAUAUAUUCCGAAGUGUCACAUAAAAAUAUUUGAACAGUACAAAACAUUUUCUUAUACUACACACAUUUUCUAAAAAUGUCACGUACGUAUUUUUUAAAUGAGUGUAUAUUUUUUAAUGUCACGUACAUUAUUUUAUUGUAGGAAAAAUUUAUUGUACAUUACGAAUACAUUAUUUUACAUUGUAUACACAUUUGAAAAACUUUCACGUACGUUUUUUUGAAAAACGGAAACAUUUUAGUUGUCAUGAAUUAUUUUUUUGAAUGCUACAAACAUUUUUCUAACACUGCGUCAAAAUUUUUGGAAUAUGUGGGGAACAUUUGUAAAAUUUUAAAAAACCUUAUAAAUAAUAGUAAUAAAAAUAGAAAAAAUUUGUGCUAGCGAGCCGAUACUCUGCACACGGGCUGCGUCGGCCCAUUUACGGAGUAUUGCUGGGUAUGCCGUGUUCUAUAUCACGGAAAACCCUAUUGAACGCCCGUGGCCUCAAAUUGCUGGGAACCCACAAAGAGCUAGCGAUUAGCGAACAAGGUGGGCCGGCCCAGUUACGAGAUAAAACGCGCUACAGUUUCUGGUUUUGGGAACUUCCUAGAAGUCGAAAUCAGUAGUUAAGGAGUACUCGUUGCAAAGAUCACUUCCACCCCUCCAGUUACGACAAGUGGCGCACUGCAUGUGCGCCACUUGUCGUAACCUGGGAAUUUUCCCUUUUUUCGUAGAUUCGUUUAUUCAAAACGUUUUAUCUCUUUAACACUGUGUCCAAAUCUUGAACCAUUUUUAUCGUUGGAUUUCUUGCGUCGAGUUCUUCAAAACUAAAUCCCAUGUUGAUAGGUUGUGACGAAUUUUUUUUCACAAAAAAAAACGGACGAAAAAAACAAACCGGGAGCACAAGUUUUUUUCCCUUUCCGAGAGAGGCACGCCCGUGCCUUUCGCGAAACCACAACCGUGCCUCUUGCGGAAGCAAAACCGGGCCUCUCGCGGAAGAAAAAAAUAGAACACACGUUUUUUUUCGUUUCCGAGGAGGCACGACCGUGCCUGUCGCGAAAGAACAACCAUGCCUCUCAUGAAAGAAAAAACAGAAAACGGGUUUUUUCCGUUUCUGAGAGGCACGGCCGUGCCUCUCGUGAAAGCACAACCGUGCCUCUCGCAGAAGGAAUAAAAAAUAGAGAACACGUUUUUUCGUUUCCGAGAGGCACGGCCGUGACUCUCGCGAAAGCACAACCGUGCCUCUCGCGGAAGAAAAAAAACAACAGAAAACACGUUUUUUCCCGUUUUCGAGAGGCAUGGCCGUGACUCUCGCGAAGCAAAACCGUGCCUCUCGCGGAAGCAAAACCGUGACUCUCGCGAAAGGAAAAAAACGAAAACGCGUUUUUUCAUGAUUUUUUUUAUCCAAAAUUUCAGGAAGACCGGUGGAACACUGAACCGUCGAAAAAAACCAAAAAACCCGUUAAAAAGCCAAAAACGCGUGCAGAAAUAUAUAAAAAAAUAAAAUCUGAAGGGAGCGUCCAGAGCGCGACACGUGGCGGGUGGCUGGAAGCGCCAAGUGGUGCUGAUCGUUGCAAGGCUCCCGAAGGAGCGCUCGUUAAUUAGUUGCUCUCCCAAGAAGUUUCCUGAUCGGUUUUGGGAAGCUUCUAGAAGGUCCCUGAAGGUUUUUAGUGGUUUUGGCUUUUUUCACUUUUUUCUUAAUCUUUUAUCUUUUUUCCAUUACAUAUUUUUCUUUUCUUUUUUCGUAUUUCUCUUUCUUUUCUAUUUUUCCUAUUUAUGUUGUAUUUCCUUUUUCUACACGUUUGAAAACAUGUUCACUUUUCAAAAAAUGUUCGUGUCUCAAAUUUUGUUCACAAAUUCAAAAAGUGUUAUAGAUAUUUUAAAAUUUGUUUGCAUAUUUGAAAAAGAUGUCACCUUUCAAAAUAUGUUCAUAAGUUCAAAAAAAGUUCCUGUUUUAAAAUUUUGUUCAAAGAUUCAAUAAAUGUUCGUAAUGGUCACAUUUUUAAAAUUUGUUCAGAGUGUCAAUUUUUGUUUACAGAUGCAAAAAAUGUUCCCUUUUGUACAAAAUGUUCAUGUUUUCAUAAAAUGUUCCUUUUUAUCAACAUUUGUUCACAAAAAAAAGUUCCUGCCUUUAAACUUGUUCGUGUUUGUCAAAAAAAGGAAUUAAAAAAAUGUUCGUGUUUUUUAAAAUUUGUUCACGAAUUCAUACUUCCUUCCCUUUUUGAAUUUUGGGUACAAAUCCAAAAAUUGUGCAAUUUUUCCAUUACUUGUACGUAUUUUUAAAAAAUUGUUCAGAUUUUUUUAAAAGUAUUCAGAAUUUUCGUUAAAUCUUCUAAAAAAGUACAUUUUUGGAUCUACCCAUAUGGUUAGUUCUAAAGGUUUUCGCGUUGUAGAUAUAAAAGUAGCAUUGAUCUGCUGUACUGGUUGGGCACCUUAGUCUAUAAUCGCUGUAUCACGAGUUCGAAUCCUCGAGGAAGCUGGGCUUUUUUUGCGUUGCAUUUUUACGCCAUUGGCUGCUCGUGCGUGGGCCGGCCCAGGCAAAGCACCCCUGUGCGAAGCGCCCUCAGUCUGCCGCAGAAUGCGGCAGAUAGAAAGUCCCCUGUAUCACAACACGUGAUACAUAGGAGUUGCCAAAUCCUAUUCGGUGCCUUAAGAGCCGAAUAUAGGCCAGCUCGUAGAGGGCGCACACCCCCCGAUCUCUCAUCGUUGCUAUAUGGGCCGGCCCUUUAAUUUCUGUUUUGAAAACGCAAAAGCAAAAGUAAAGCGGGUGCACCUUAGUCUAUAAUCGCUGUAUCACGAGUUCGAAUCCUCGAGGAAGCUGGUCUUUUUUUGCGUUGCAUUUUUAUGCCAUUGGCUGCUCGUGCGUGGGCCGGCUCAGGCAAAGCACCCCUGUGCGAAGCGCCCUCAGUCUGCCACAUAAUGCGGCAGAUAGAAAGUCCCCUGUAUCACAACACGUGAUACAUAGGAGUUGCCAAAUCCUAUUCGGUGCCUUAAGAGCCGAAUAUAGGCCAGCUCGUACAGGGCGCACACACCCCGAUCUCUCAUCGUUGUUAUAUGGGCCAGCCCUUUAAUUUCUGUUUUGAAAACGCAAAAGCAAAAGUAAAGCGGGUGCACUGGGAUUCGAGCAGGCUACCUCCUGCUUCGUCGUACACUACACAAACCACAAGCCACCAAGCCUAAUCUGAUUAUGUGCACCUUUCUAUUUCUUUUCUUCCUUGUACUUUUCUUUUAUCAUUUUUCCUUUUUUCCUUUUCUAUUUUUCUUCUUUCCUUUUUCUUUUUUCUUUCUUCCUAGUUCGAUGCAAAAUCGGUGAACUUUUUCACAAAUUUGAUGAACUUUUUCAAAAAUUCGAUGAACUUUUUUCAGUCUUGAUGAUUUUUUUUCAAAUUCGAUGAACUUUUUCAAACUCGACGAACUUUUUGUAAAACUCAAUGAACUAUUUUCAAAUUUGUGAACUUUUUCUUAUCAAAACUGAUGAACUUGUUUUAAAUUUGUGACCUUUUUCCAACAUCUGGUGAACUUUUUUAUCAAAACCGAUUAACUUUUUUAGAAUCCAUGAACUCUUUUAGAAAUUAUGAACUUUUUUUAUCAAAAUCGCUAAACCUUUUUCAAAUUUCUAUGAACUUUUUUCAAAUAUGUGGAUUUUUUUUAAAAAGAUGAACUUUUUUCAAUUUUUUUGUGAACAUUUCUUUGGAAUCCAUGACCUUUUGUCAAAUCGAUGAUCUGUUUUAAAAUUCAUGAAUUCUUGUUCAAUUUUUCGUUCCUUUUUUCCAAAUAAUUUGUACUGCGGUAGAAACUCGGGGCGAAAUAAAACUGUUUUCGUAUAUAACACACCAAUGUUAUCCUUGUGCAGUGGUUGAAGCCCCAAGUGUGUCUGCAAUGGCACAUGGGCUCGAAUCCCUCUUUCUACAUAUAUUUUCUGGCAGUUUGUUUUUUUAUCGGAAGCCACGCAUUGAACGAGCUCUUCGGCUUGUUCUUGGGCCGGCCCGCAUAACCAAGUGUGUGGGCGCUGGGUUCGUUUGCUAACGCAUAAGGCGCCAACGAGGAGCUCUCAUUAAAAUGAGACCUCCUAUAGGACGCAUUCUGCGUCAUGUAGGAACCUGACGUAGAGGGGGGCGCGCAAACUGGGCCGGCACAUGGACGCUUGGAGGGAAAAUGAUGAACAUGAAUGAGAAAAAGGAAGUUGACGGGCUUUGAUCAUGCGACUGCAAACUCACGUGGCAACUUGUCUAUCGAGUUCUACUGAACAAAGUAUAACGCAGUGCGUGGCUUCCGAAAAUAAAUCGCGAAGAACAUUUAACAUCUGAAAAUAAAUCGCGAACAAAUUUUCAAAAACAGAAGAAAUUUUUGAACAUGCGGAUGUAGAGAUUCCACUAUGAACCACAUACGGAUGUAUAUAGAUGCAUUUUAGUAUGUAGAUUCACUUAUUUUGCUUCGUAUGUAGUCCAUAGUGAAAUCUCUACCGAGACUAAAUUUAGGAACGGAGGGAGUUGAAGGUUCCGAAAACGAGAAAAAUACAAACGAAACCUCGUAGAACGUUCCAAAACCUACCUGCACUGUAGCGUGUUCUUUAUCGAUAAUUGGACCAGCCCAUGGAGAUCGUUGGUCGCUCACUUUGUGCGAAGUAAUGAUAAUCUGCCACAGAAUGCGACAGAGAGGAUUUUCGUUUUAAAAUUCCCAGCGCACACCCCCUACCAGCGAUGGGCCAUCUCUGAAAAACCUGAGAUGGCCCGGCCCAUGUUUCCUUAUUUUUCCUGUUAAGCCUUUUCUCUGAAAAAAGGUGCGCAAUAGGGGGGAUUAAAUCAUGCGACCUGCUCGUAACCAACUAGGCUUACUCACCUAUGUGGAAUACUUAUAUCUUUUAUCUCUUUUUGUUUCAGUUCAUUUUCCAGUCCGCUGGAUGUUUUUAUAUGGUUUUUUGUUUACUUUGUUUCCUAAUUUUUCUUUUCUUUUUUGAAUGUGUGAAUCCUUUCUCAAUUUUUACGGCUUUUUUCCGAUCCGUGAACAUUUUCAAAAUUGAUUAUUUUAAAAAAAAUUGAUUGUUUUUAAAAUCGAUGAACUUUUUUUCAAAUUGGAUGAAGUUUUCUCUAAAUUUCUGAACUUUUCCAAAUUUGAUUAUUUUUUCAAAAUCGAUCAAAUUUUUAAAAUUCAUGAACUAUUUUAAAAUUUAGAAAUUUUUUUCAAAGUUUUGAACUCUUUUGAAAUCUGAGAACAUUUUUUCUAGUCUAUUAUUUUAUUUUUAGAAAAAAUCCAUAACACUGUGUGAUAGUAGGCAGCAGAAAAAUCGAGGAAAAAAACUUGAGAAGAACGGCCUAUGUACAAACGGGAGCUCCUGUUCGGCGCCGAUUGUGCCAGGAAGUCUCCCUCGCACACACUGCCUACGAUUUUGGGCCUUGGCCAUUAUUGCUCCUUGGCUAAUUCACUUUCUCUGACACCCGUAUGUAUGGGCAUUCCCUAUUCGCCGCCUCUUGCGCCCGUUAACGUUUAAAAUGCAAACCGGCGCGCGACCCCCACCAGCGGUGGGCUGGCCCAUGUUGCCUUUUUUUCCUUGUUAAGCUUUUUCUUUGCAGGAAUGGUGCGUCGUUAUAGGAGAUUCGAACAAACGACCUGCUCGUCCUAUGUAAGAUCCACUAACCAACUACGCCUCCUCACCUGCAUGAAAAUACUUACAUCCUUUUAUUUCUUUUGGUUUCAGCUCAUUUCCCGGUUCGUUGGGUGUUUCUUAUACUGUUUUUUCUUUACUUCUUUUCUUCCUUUUUUCUUUUGUUUUUCCAAUGCGUGAAACUUUUUUCAAUUUUCACAAAUAUUUUCCCAAAAUUUGUGCACUUAUUUUAAGAAUCAAUGAUCUUUUUUUCAAUUUGAUGAACUUUAUUUUAAGAUUUGAACAACUUUAAAAAAAUGAUGAUUUUCCCCAAAAUCGAUGUUUUUUUUCAAAUUUAUGAUUUUUUUUUUGCAAAUUCAUUAACCUAUUUCAAAUCUUUGACAUUUUUUCAAUCCGUCUUUUUAAUCCAUAAAACUGUCUGACAACUGGCAGCAUUAAAAUCGAGAAAAAAACCCUAAGACGAACUGCCUACAUUCAUAUGGGAGCUCCUCCUUGGCGCACACGGGCAAUGGUUUAGGCCUCGGCCUGUUACUGCUCCUUCGUUAAUUUGCUUUCUCGCUCGCCCCUAUGUGUAUGUAGGUCUUUUGUCUCAGGUUUUUUUAUUGAUUUUUCAGCUGGCUGAUGUCAGUCAAUUUUAUGGGUUUUAAAAAAGGAAAACAGAUUAAAAAUAUUCACAUAUUUGCAAAAAAUAGCAAAAUUGUCAAAGGAGUUCACGUAUUUAGAAAAAAGUUCAUUGGUAUUGACUGGAAUUUAAUCAAUUUGGAAAAAAGUUCAAAAAAUUAAAUGAAAUCUUUGAAUUUGAAAAAAAAUAAUAGAUUUUGAAAAAAAAAUAUUCACAAAAUUAGGAAAAUAUCAUCAAUUUUGAAAUAAAAAGUUAAUAGAUUUUGGAAAAAUAUUCAUAAAACUGAGAAAAGUUUCACGUAUUUGAAAAAUGAAAUAGAUAAAAAAAUAAGUAAAGAAAAAAGGUAUAAAACAUCCGGCGUACCAGGAAAUGUGUUGAAACAAAAAGAGAUAAAUAAUGUAAGCAUUUCAUGCACGCGAGCAGACCUGGUUAGUGGAUCCUACAUAGGACGAGCACGCGUGGUUUCGAAUCUCUUAUGGCACACCUUUUUUCCAGAGAAAAGGCCUAACCAGGGAAAAAAGACAGCAUGCAUCGGCCCAGCACUGGUGGGGGGUGCGCGCCGGUUUGACAUUUACACGUUAACAAGGGCAACAGGCAUCGAAUAGGAAAUGUCCCUAUCAGUCGCUCUCUGCAGCAGAUUGUUGCCUGCACACACAGGUACUGAGAAAAAUUAGACAUGUGUAAAAAUGAAAAAGCGUAAAAGAAAAAAAAAGACUAGUGUGCGCGCACGAGCGACUGUGCUACUGGGCCGGCCCAAUUCGGCAAAUACCAGCCGAGUCCUCUCAAGGUUUAAAAUAGACCGGGAUUAUAGAGUUCGGUGUGCUGAUUUCAGGGAUUGAGAGUUCGGGGUUUGAUUUAGCUUUUGCCUACAAAUUUAAGGUUUGUUUUGGACUUUUUCCCUAAGCCGGCCAUGAAGCUAGUGACCAACGGCAAAUGAAUCGAACCCAGGAUCUCCGGCUACUAACGGGCAAAAUCAUUGUUCUGACCUCUACAACAAUCUUUGCUACAAACUGAACUCGACAUAAAAGUAUUUCACAAUCUAACCCUUUUAGCAACGCCACAACCCGUGACGUUUCUACUUCAGACAGAAACGCCGAGCCACGCCGCGUUGCUGUCUUGGCCCCACUCGCCGAGGUGGCAUGCUCGAAACGCCGAGCCAGAUUGCGUUUGUGGAAACGUCAAGGGCUUCGGCCAAGGGACAUGACGUUUCUAAAUGUACGCCAAAGGCAAUGCAUGGACGUAGCAGCACUCCUGUCCAAAGGCAUCAUGCAUGCAUGCAUGUACUUUGGGGGGAGAUCCAUCUUUAAUUUGUACUAGUGGCAUGCGUUGCAUGCAUGCAUGUACUGCUGUGCAGUUCUUCAGCGAGAGAACGCGGAACGUUUCCUGAUCAGCACGGCCAUCAUCGGUGAUUGCCAAAUUUCGCCAACCACACAAGUGAAUAUGCCAAAAGCUAUGCUGCGCCAACUGAUUUGACAAAACAACUGGCAGUUGUUAUACUAUCAGCAAGGAAAUACGCGGGCCAAAAAGUCACGCCAAUGAUGCUCUCGUACCAGCGAAAUUUCUGGCCGGCUUACUGAACAUGUACGUUAUUGCCCUGUACUAGUGGCAUGCGUUGCUGGCCAGGGCAUGGAAACGCCAAUGCUCAUGGCGUUGCUGGCCAGGGCAGAAACGCCGAAGCCCAUGGCAUUUCAAAAAACGCAGGCUGGCUCGGCGUUUCCGGCCUGCAGGGUCAGCGUCGGAGGCCAGGGCAGCAACGCGGUGUGGCUCGGUGUUUCUCUCUGGAGUCAAAACGCCACGGGCUGUGCCGUUGCUAAAUAGGUCAGAUCAUUAAAUACUUCCAUUUUGAGUUUAAUUUGUGACAAAGAUUGUUGUAGAGGCCAGUGAUUUUGGCCGCUACUAACAUGGUGCUACCGGUUGAGCUAGCGACCAUCCCUAAUAAUAUAGUAGUUCAAACACAUUAAGAACUACCCACAGCGCAGAUCCAAAUAUUGUUUAAAUUUUAGAAGUUCAACAUUUUCUGAAGAAUAAUGCGACUGUUUUAGGAAACACAAAUACUAUUAAAUUAUUUGAACAAAUAUAAAGAUAAUUUAAACAUUUUAAAAAAAGGGAAUAUUUUCCGAAAACCAUAAACAAUUUUAUGAAAAACAUUUUUUUGGAAUUGUCCCAAAACAUUGAAAAGACGAACAUUUUUUUCAUUUGCAAACAGUUUUUUAAUGGGAACAUUUUUUAACUCCUGCUUUUUGUCAAAACACAAGCAUUAUUUUAUAUUUCUGAACAACUUUUUAAAUGGAAACUUAUUUUAAAAAGUUGUGAAAUUGGACAACAUGUUUUGCUCAUUAGUCCAAAGAAGUAGGCUAAUUUCCUUGGUUGUGCGUUAUUCUUCUGGAUUUGGUCAGCUAUAUUAUACUCCCUCUGUUCCUAAAUAUAAGUCUUUUUAGACAUUUCAAAUGGACUACAACAUACGGAUGUAUGUAGACAUAUUUUAAAGUAUGGAUUCGUUCAUUUUGUUCCGUAUGUAGUCACUUGUUAGAAUCUCUAAAAAGACUUAUAUUUGGGAACGGAGCGGAAAUCCCUUUUGGUGACCGAGCUCCAAUGAGGCCUCCAAAUUCAAAAUUCAAAUUUCAUCAAAAUUCAUAUUUUUACGUUUCAAAAAAUUCUGAAAAAAACACAGCUAUACAUGAAGGCAUAACACACAUGUGUGUAAAUUUUCAGGGCAAAAUACGUUGAAACGAGGGCUGUGCAAAAAAGACAAAUCUAGGGCUGUUUAACACAUGAUACUAUUCAUUCUCUUAGGCUAUGAAUUUGUCUUUUUUGUACUGGUCGCAAUUCAAGGUAUUUCAUCAUGAAUUUUUACACACAUGUGGGUUACAUCCUUACAUAUACGCAUAUUUUUUUCAGAAUUUUUUGAAACAUAAAAAUUUGAAUUUGAAUUUUUUGAAAAUAAAGGGCUCCAUGGAGCUCGGCCUCCAAAACGCCAUUCUCGGAACGGAGGGAGUAUAUACUUAUAAAUAUGAAAAUUUAGCAUUCUAGUGUCAAUGAAGUAAAUACUCUAAUUUGGAAAUGUUGAGCUCUAUUUUUUGGAAUAGGCUCACCUCAUCCUUCCACCGGGCAGUGCAUUUACUUUUUUUUUUCUAGUCAUCUCCUGGUAUUUUUUUUGAAACGCCCGCACAAAAACAUCUUGAAUAAUUUUUUACAAUUCUCAAACAAUAAAUGAAAAGUGCUAACGUUUUUAGAUUUAUGAACAAAAUUUGAAAAUACAAACAUGUUUUCAAAAUUUGAAAACAAAGCAUGAACAUUCUUGAAAAAAGUAAAUUUGAAAAGGAAAAGAAAAAAUGAACAAAAAGUUAAAAAUAAAAAGAAAUAGAAAACAUAGUAAAAAAGAAAACUAAAAACCCUAAAAGAAAUAAAAGGUCGUUCCCUCAAAACCGGAUGGGGUAGUACCUACGCUAUCUACACAAAUGUGCUGGCCCAACGUGUCCCUCGGUCGCUCGCCCUGUGCGACACGCCCACAGUUUGCCAUAACCAACCUUUAGAAGAUUUUGCAAUAAGACAUGUACGAGGUUGGCUCUUUUAGUGAAAUCAACAAUAUAUAGAUCACCUCUACAAAUGCCGAUAAAGACCGUAUUAUGAUUAUCUCUAGGAAACACUUGGCAAUCUACUUCAGUAAAUAGAACAUUGAAACCAAAGCGGGCUAGUCUAGAUACGGAAAGAAGAUUGUAACCAAUAGAUUCAACAAGCAUAACAUUUUGAAUGGAGCUAUCAUUGGAUAUGGCUACCUUGCCAAGGCCAAAGUACCUUACCCUUGGAGUUGUCUCAGAAAUCACAUACUUGCUUGGACCAUCAUUCUUAGCAAGCUCACGAAACAUGUAUGUAUCUUCGAUCAUGUGAUCGGUGCAUCCACUAUGAAUAAUACAUUCCUUUCCCCCGGCCAUAUAAUCUCGAAGAUUUCCCAUGAGACUAAGAUUUCUCGUAGUCUUCUCAGAUUCGAUGUCGAACUCUUCAUCCUCAUCAUAACAGCCAUGUUCAACAUUGUCAUCAUCAUCAAAAUGUAUAUGAGCAUCACCUAGGGCAAUGGAUACAUUAGUUCCAUGAUUGGGACAAUGAUCAACAUCAUGAUAUUGCUAAUGAUUCUAACAUCACCUUUAGCACACAUAAGAUCACGAAGCUCAAAGAGACAAUCAUCAAAUAUAGGAUCACUAGGCUUCAUCUUAAUUUAUGAAGUAUUCAUGCAAUGUUUGCAAAAAAAUUAUAUGGUUUUGGUGCACUUUUAUAUGAUUUAAAAUGGAACUAACCCGGACUAAUGUUGUUUUCAGAAGAACUACCGUGGUGUUAUUUUUUGUGUAGAACUAAAAGUUCUCGGAUUGGGCUGAAAAUGUACGGUGAUUUUUUAUGGACAAAAAGAGACCCCGAAGCUUCGAGGAAGGAACGACGACGAUGUCCACGGGAGUGACAAGCUCGGGGAGCGCCCCCCUAGGGCGCGCCUACCGAGCUUGUCUCUUCCUCGUGGCCCCCUGACGUGAAACCGACACCAAAAAUUCCUAUAAAUAUAGAAAACCCUAGAAAGAAACCAAGAAUUUCCGCUCCACCGCCGCAAGCCUCUGUACCAAAGGGAUCUCAUUUGGAGGCCUUCUGGCACGCUGCCGGAGGGGGAAAUCAUCCCCGAAGGUCAUCUUCAUCAUCCCGGCGGUCCCAUGACGAGGAGGGAAUAGUUCACCCUCGGGGCUGAGGGUAUGUACUAGUAGAUAUGUGUUUGAUCUCUCUCUCUCUCUCUCUCACUCUCUCUCUCUCUCUCUCUCUCUCUCUCUCUCUUUCUCUCUCAAUCUCGUGAUCUUGAUUUGGCACGAUCUUGAUGUAACCAUGGGCUUUGUUAAUAUAGUCGGAUCAUAUGGUGUUUCCCCCUCUAUCUUCUUGUGAUGAAUUGAGUCUUGCUCUUUGAGGUUUUGUUAUGCUGGAUUGAAUAAAGAUCACUUGAUGUAUGUCUUGAAUGUGGAUACCCGUGGUGACAAUGGGGUAUUCUACUGAGUCACUUGAUGUAUGUUUUGGUAAUCAACUUGCGGAUUCCCAUGGUGCCAUUGGUGUAAUCUAUACAUUGGGGCUGAUACACGUUUUCGUCCUACGUUCUCCGAUAGAAACUUUGGAGUGAUUCUUUGUCAUAUGUUGAGGGAUUGUUAUAUGAUUCAAUUAUGCUAGCAUUGUUGAGAGAUUGCACUAGUGAAACUAUGAACCCUAGGCCUUGUUUUCAAGCACUACAAUACCAUUUGUGAUCCAUUUUAUCACUUGCUACCUUGCUGUUUUUAUAUUUUCAGACUACAAAAACCUAUAUCGACUAUCCAUACUACACUUGUAUCACCAUCUCUUUGCCGAACUAGUGCACCUAUACAAUUUACCAUUGUAUUGGGUGUGUUUGGGACACAAGAGAUUCUUUGUAUUUGAUUGUAGGGUUGUUUGAGAGAGACCAUCUUCAUCCUACGCCUCCCAAGGAUUGAUCAACCUUAGGUCAUCCACUUGAGGGACAUUUGCUAUUGUUCUACAAAAACUCUGUGCUUGGAGUCCCAACCGAGUCUACAAGAAUAAAGUUGUGUAGUAGACAUCAAGAUCAUUUCUGGUACUGUUGCCGGGGAGGUGAGUGCGUGAAGGUAUAUCUCUAGAUCUUGCAACUGAAUGUUUUAGUUUCUUGUUUUAUCACUAGUUUGGUUUAUAAAAGAAAACUAAAAAAAUGGAAUUGAAGUUGCAUCAAAUGCUUUACCUUUAUGACGUCUUUCUUGAAAAUGAUGGAAUGGAAAAUUGUGUAAAAGUGUUAGAAGAAGAAUUCAAUAAAAUGUUUGGCAUAAAAUCUUUGAAUGAUAAGUAUGAUUGCAAUGUUGUUAUUAUGCUUUCUAUGGAUAUCCAUGAUGAUAAUGAUGCAAAGCCGUAAGCUUGGGGAUGCUAUAUUUGAUGAAGAUGAUAUUUUUAGUCCCCCAAGUUUUGAUGAGAAAAUUUAUAAUGAUGAUAGCAUGCCUCCUAUUUAUAAUGAUUCAAAUGAUGAAAGUGGGUUUGGAACAGUGUCUAGGAAGUAAUGAUCCCACUGUUCUGGAAGGUGUUGAAUCUUAUUGUAAUAAUUAUGAAACUGGAUUGGGAGAGGUCAUGAAUUUAUUUAAUGAUGAAUUCACUAUUUUGGAAGAGGUUUCAAUUGAUUAUGACAACAAAGUUGCUAUCUAUGAUGAUUAUGGUGAUGACAUGUAUGCUAUAAAGAAUAAUGAUGACGAUGAAACUUGUCAUCAUGAUUUUAAGGCUCAAAUUUAUUAUGCCAAUCAAGUAUCACAUGAUAGUUAUUUCAUUGAGUUUGCUCCCACUAUUAUGAAUUAGAAUAAAUUUGCUUAUGUGAAGAGUAAUAAAAUUUCUAUGCUUGUCAAUCAUGAAAAGAAUGCUUUAUGUGAUAGUUAUAUUAUUUAAUUUAUUCAUGAUGCUACUGAAAACUAUUAUGAUAGGGGAAGAUAUGCCUUCCUAUGUGUUGAUUCAUGAUGCUACUGAAAACAAUUUUGUUUUGCCUUCAUCUCUAUGUGUUGAGAACUUUUAAGUUACAUUUGUUUUGCCUUCCUAUGCUAGUUAAUUCUUUCUCCCAUAAAUUGUUUUCUCACAAAAUCCAUAUGCAUAGGAAGUGGGUUAGGCUUAAAUAUGUUUGACAUAUUUUUCAUGAUGCUCCCAUUAUGUUUCAUUUCUUUACUUUUAUGCGAGCAUCAUUGGAAUCAUCAUGCUUAGCUAAAAAGGCAUUAAAGAAAAGCGCUUGUUGGGAGACAACCCAAUACUUAUACCUACUGUUUUUGUGUGUUCACAUGAUUAAGCUACUUAAGUAAUCAUGUUUUAUAGCCUUUGUUUCAAUAAUGUGCCAAGUAAAGCCUUUGGGAUGAUUUGGAUGAUAGUUGAAUUGAUCCUGUGCAAAAACAGAAACAUUUGCGCCUCGUGCUGGAAUUACUAUAAUUCGCUGGGAUGUGAUAAAAUUCUAAAAAUUCGCACUUGAUUGAUAUACAAUUUUUUUAUGUUGUCCUAAUUUUUUAGAUUACAGAAGUAUGGUAUUUGUUCAGAAUACUAUAGACUGUUCUGUUUUUGACAGAUUCUGUUUUCGGUGCAUAGUUUGCUUGUUUUAUAGUUUCUAUGACUUAUAUUGGUCAAUAUAAAUUGUAGAAAUUAUAGGGUACAGUAGGCAUUGUGUGAGAACAAUUAUGAAUCUUGUAUUGACAAUACCGAAGUGAAUGAUUUUCUCUUUAUCAUACUAACCUAUCUCACGAAGUUCCGUUAAGUUUUGUGUGGUUGAAUUUUUCAAGUUUUGGGUAAGAGAUCCAUAUGAGGAGAAUAAGGAGUGGAAAGACUCUAAGCUUGGGUAUGCCCAAGGCACCUCCAAGGUAAUAUUCAAGGAAUGCCCAAGCAUCCAAGCUUGGGGAUGCCCCGGAUGACAUCCUCUCUUUCGUCUUCAACAUUAUAGGUAACCUCACUUGGAGCUAUAUUUUUAUUCAUCACAUGGUAUGUGUGUUGCUCGGAGCGUCAUUUUAUUUUAUUAGGAUUUGCUUGCUAUUAUUUAGAAUAAUGUUUUGUAUCUUUUAUUUCAAUAAAAGUGGCAAGUAUAGCCUUUCCCAUGCUCAAUUUGCAAGUCUAAAUUUUGCUGUUUGAAAACAGAAAGUUUUCUGUUAUGUCUUGAAUAUUCCUGAAUAGUUAGAAGACUAUAAAAUCUUGAGAUUUUUACACAAUAAGCCAUGAUAAAUUUUCUACAAUGCGGAAAAUUUUCAGAAUUUUGGGAGUUAAAUAAGUAUGAAUCUUCUUUCAUCCUUUCCAGACUAUUCUGUUUAGACAUAUUGCUGUUAUGUUUGCAUUGUUUGCUUGUUUAGUGAUUAUAUUUAAGGAUAGGAGCAUUAAAAAUAUGCAUAGGCAUCUAGUAUGCAAUGUCAAAUUAUAAUUUUAGUGAUUUGCUAUAGUAGAGAAUGUUAAGGUUUUGAGUUGAUUUAUACUAACUUAUCUCAUGAAUUCUUGUUGAGUUUUGUGUGGAUGAAGUUUUUAAGAUUUAGGAGAAACUGUGAUAUGAGAGAAAUUAAGGAUACACAAGAGCUCAAGAUUGGGGAUGUCCAAGGCAUCCCAAGUUAAUAAUUCAAGAAGUCUCAAGCAUCUAAGCUUGGGGAUCCUCCGGUAGGCAUCCCACCUUUCUUUGUCAACAACUACCAGUUAGUUUUUGUUGAGCCUAAGUUUUUACUUGUUCACAUGAUGUGCUAUUCUUGGAGUGUCCUUUUAUAUUUGUUUGCUGUUUGAAUAAAAUACUUAGGUAUGGAAGUUUUAAAUGAGAGAGUCCUCACAUAGCUACUUAAUUGUUCGACUACUCAUUGAUCUUCACUUAUAUCUUUUGGAGUAGUUUGUCAUUUAUUCUUGUGCUUCAGUUAUGUCCUAAAAGUAAAAUGUUGAAUGAUUUGAAUAUCAUAAAGUUGAAAUUAUAUGUGGUUCAUGUGCUUGUUUCAUGCCCAGUAGUAGUUUCACAUUGGGUUUAUAAAGUAAAAUCUAUUGGUCAUACAAGCAAUUCAUGAAUGAUUAGUAUAUGGAAGAGAAAUUUCACCUGCAAUUUCAUUAUGUUGGCCAUAUUUUAUGAUUGUGAAUACACAUUAAUUAUUUUCAAACUUGAUCAAAUUAGUCGGAGUUGGACAAGGAAGACAACAUAAUGAGUUAUGGUUGGGUAUAUUUGCAUCGAAGUUAUAUUGUUAUGGAUCCUCCAACAUGUGGUGCUUGUGUUACAAUCUUUGCUAGCCAAAAAAUUCUGUACUAAGCGAGAAUACUGCUUGUGCAUCCAAAUCCUUGAGCCAAGUUUCUUCCAUGAGUGUCCACCAUAUCUACCUAUGUGCGGUAUUACCCUGUCUGUCUAAGUAAAUUUGCAUGUGACAUCUCUAAAACCUUCAAAUAAACAACCAUUUUGUGUGCCCGUACCACUCAUGGAGCAACGAGACGGUUAAUAUCUUCUAUGUUAAGCGGGUUAUUCUCAUGACGGGUGUUUAUUCACUUUUCCUUGCACGAGAGAGGCCAGUAAAAGGGAUGCCCAGUCCCUUCAAUCAAAAAUAAAAAAUAAAAAAAUAAACUCCCCCUAGAAAGUUGAUUGUUUGUAGGGCACCCGUAAAUUCGGCUAGCCAUGGCUUGUGUUUGUAUGGAUGGAUGACGGGGAGUAAAAUUUUCAUUUUCGCAUGGGAAUCGCAGAUAAUGUGUUAAGCAUGGGAGAUAUUGAAAUCCUUAGUCGUGAUGUUGACAGGAAAAGCACACCACUCAAAAUGUAUUCAUCUCCGUUUUAAGCAAUGAGCUCUAGCACCUCUGCAAAUCCAUGCUUCCCUCUGCGAAGGGCAUAUAUUUUACCUUUUCAGUCAAUUUUAUCUUUGUUGAGUCAAUUUCUUAUUCUAACCUAUUCUCUAGUUGGCAAGCAUCAUGUAGCGGGGAAAGAUCCCGCCAUAUGUAUCCAUUCAAAUAUAUUUGAUCAUGGAUUAUUAUUGUUGACAAUUAACUCUAUGAUAAAAGAGUUGGGAGGUGAAACAUUAGGCCCCUAUCUUUCUUUGUGUCCGAUGGAUGCUAUUUUUAAAAAAAAUAUGCUUUCAGCACUAGCAAUCAGAGAAGACUAGAAGAUAAUUGAGUAUGUGGAGCUCGUACUUAGACUUUGUUGAAACAAGUUGAAUUGAGAUUGUUUGCUGACUAAGAACAUAGGUUGUUAAGUUUUAAGAGAAUGCAUAGUUUGAACCAUAACAUGUGAAUUGAUUGCUACUUUAUGAUGAUGAGCUUUAUGAGAAAGAGUUGUUGUUUAUGAUGCUAGAUAAGUGUUUGGAAUUAUCAUUGAUCAAACUUAUGCACUAUGCUAGCAUCCACACUUCAUAAAUUAUUUUUUUAUCAUUUACCUACUCGAGGAUGAGCAGGAAUUAAGUUUGGGGAUGCUGAUACUUCUCCAAUGUAUCUAUAAUUUAUGAAGUAUUCAUGCCAUGUUUACAACAAUUUUAUAUGAUUUUGGUGCACUUUUAUAUGAUUUAAAUGGAACUAACCCGGACUGACGUAGUUUUCAGCAGAACUACCCUGGUGUUGUUUUUUUGUGCAGAAAUAGAAGUUCUUGGAAUAGCCUGAAAAUUUAUGGUGAUUUUUUAUGGACAAAAAGAGACCCCCGAAGCUUCGAAGGACCAGGCGAUGUCCAGGGGAGCGACAAGCUCAAGGGGUGCCCCCUAGGGCGCGCCUACCGAGCUUGUCGCUUCCUCGUGGCCCCCCUGAUGUGAAACAGAUGCAAAAAAUUCCUAUAAAUAUAGAAAACCCCAGAAAGAAACCAAUAACUUCUGCUCCACCGCCGCAAGCCCCUGUACCAAAGCGAUCUCAUCUGGAGGCCUUCUCAAGCACCCUGCCAGAGGGGGAAAUCGUCACCGGAGGUCAUCUUCAUCAUCCCGGUGGUCUCCAUGACGAGGAGGGAGUAGUUCACCCUCAAGGUUGAGGGUAUGUACUAGUUGCUAUGUGUUCGAUCUCUCUCUCUCUCUUGUGAUUUUGAUUUGGCACGAUGUUGAUGUAACCAUGGGCCUUGUUAAUAUAGCCGGAUCAUAUGGUGUUUUCCCCUCUCUAUCUUGUUGUGAUGAAUUUAGUCUUGCUCUUUGAGGUUUAAUUAUUUUGGAUUGAAUAUUGGAUUUGAGAUCACUUGAUGUAUGUCUUGCAUGUGGAUACCCGUGGUGACACUUGGGCAUUCUAUUGAGUCACUAGAUGUAUGUUUUGGUAGUCAACUUGCAGAUUCCCAUGGUGACAUUGGGGUAAUAUAUGCAUAGGGGUUGAUACACGUUUUCGUCCAACGUUCUUCUAUAGAAACUUUGGAGUGACUCUUUGUCGCAUGUUGAGGGUUUGUUAUAUGAUUCAAUAUGCUAGCACAGUUGAGAGAUUGCACUGGUGAAAGUAACCCUAGGCCUUGUUUUCAAGCAUUGCAAUACCAUUUGUGCUCCAUUUUACCACUUGCUACCUUGCUGUUUUUAUAUUUUCAGAUUACAAAAACCUAUAUCUACUAUCCAUACUACACUUGUAUCACCAUCUCUUCGCCGAACUAGUGCACCUAUACAAUUUACCAUUGUAUUGAGAGUGUUGGGGACACAAGAGAUUCUUUGUAUUUGAUUCCAGGGUUGUUUGAGAGAGACCAUAUUCAUCCUACGCCUCCCACAGAUUGAUAAACCUUAGGUUAUCCACUUGAGGGAAAUUUGCUGAUGUCCUACAAAACUGUACGCUUGGAGGCCCAACCGAGUCAACAAGAAUAAAGCUGUGUAGUAGACAUCACCCCUCGUGUGCCUUCUCGACUCCAUUUUCUUCCCGAAUACUUGUUUUGCAAGAUAAAAAAUCUUUAUAUAUACUCCCGUAUGUUUUGACCACCGUAUCGCAAGUUUCGUCAAUCCCUACCUUAUGGAGGUGAUGAAACACUGUCAAGCCAUUGAGAUGCGUGAGGGGUGCUUCACAUCUGAGACGUUCAAGGACUAAAGAGGAAGGGAAGCGAGAAGGCCAGGCUUGAAGCGGUUGAGUAGGGGAUCUUCAAGUGCCAAGGGAUGAUGGAGUGUGGACUUAGUGCCAACCACUCCAUGAUCACAUAAUUCAUUCGUGAGCACAAAGUGGACAACAAGGAUAUUGGGGAUGCCAUCUUCAAGCUCAUUGACCGGAUUGAUCAUCUUCAAGCUCAUAUUUAUGACUUGCAAAACCAAACUUUUGAGUAUGAAGCCAAGUUUAAAGGUAUGAGUUUAGCUGCAAAUUUCAGGACCCCGGAGACACGUUCAUCCUUUUAUGAUGGAGAGCCUAUGCAUUGGAAGAUGGAGGAGAAGCCUACCACCCCAUCUCCGUCAACACCGAAGAAAGACACUUGAGUACACGGGUAUGGGCACCACCCUUGGUUUGUUCCAAGCUUGGGGGAGGUGCCCCGGUAUCGUAUCACCAUCACUUUUACCAUCGCUAUCUAUCUUAGUCCGAUCCUUAGUUAUUUCAUGAUUUAGAAGAAUAAAAUUUUAGUAUGGUCUAGUUUUGAGUGCUUGUUUCGUGAUCUAUCUAUCUAUGUAGUCGCGUGAGAGUUAUAUAAUAAAGAGUAGUUUGAGUUGUGUUUCUUUACUAUCUUGUUUCAAUCUCAGCAAUAAAAAGGAAUAAAAUUAUCAUAUGCUAGUCCCACUGGGAGUAAUAACUUCACAUAGAAAAAGUUUGGCUUAUAAAUUUUAUUGGAGAUUAACAAACAUAGCAUUGGUCAUGGAUGCAAUUCAUGCAAGAUUACUAAAGGGAGAGGACAUUCACAUAUAAAUAUACUAUCUUGGACACCUUUUAUGAUUGUGAGCCCCCAUCAAAUAUUUUCUGCAUGGUCAAAUAGUUGAUGUUGGAGAAGGAAGACAACGUAUUGAGUUAUGUUUGCUUACAUUCACAUAGAAGUUAUAUUGUCAUGGAUCCUAUAACAUGUGGUGCUUGUCUAGAAUCUUUUGCUAGCCAAAAUUCGCACUAAGUAGAGAUACUACUUGUGCAUCCAAAACCCUUAAGCCCAGUCUCUUUCCUUGAGAGUACACCAUAUCUACCUAUGGAUUGAAUAAGAUCCUUCAAGUGAGUUGUCAUUGGUACAUAAAGCAAUAAAAAUUGCACCCAAAUAUGUAUGAUCUUUUAUUGUAAGGGAAAAUAACCUUUUACAAUCUUGUGAUGGCAAAGAAAUAAAAGCGACAGACUGCAUAAUAAAUGUUGCUAUCAUAAGGGGCAAGUGAUGUUCCUUUACAUUAAGAGCUUGCACAUCCACAAAUAAAUAAAAGCGCAUGACAACCUCUGCUUCCCUCUGCGAAGGGCCUAUCUAUUACCUUUCUAUAUUUACUUUUAUGUAAGAGUCAAUAGUUAUUAUCUGUAAUCCUUUCUUAUUUAUCCUUUAAGUGGCAAGCAUCAUGUGGCGGGGAAAUAUCCAGGCACGUAUAUCCAGUUGGAUGUAGGUGAUAUGAGUUAUUAUUAUUGACAUUAUCCUUGAGGUAAAUGAUUUCAGAGGCAAAUACAAUAAGCCCCUAUCUUCCUAUGUGUCUGACAGAAACGUUUGUUCCCAAAAAUAUGCAUUGAGUGUUAGCAAUCAUAGAAGACUAAAUGAUGGUUGAGUAUGUGAACUUGCUAAAACAAAAGCUCUUACAUAGACUCUUCCUAGAAAUAUGAUGAAUUGUGAUUGUUUCGAUGACUGAGAACAUAGUUUGUUUGUUCUAAAGAAAGUUUAUACUUCGUACUUCAUAGUUGUUAAUGAAUUUUUACUUGUUUAUGAGAAGCUAUAUGAUAAAUGGUUGAUGCUAUGUUAUUAAUCAUGGUGCUAUCAUGUCCGUAUUUUGUUUUUAACAACUCCUCUCUCUCUAAACAUGUGGUCAUGAUUAUCGAGUUUGACUUCCGCUUGAGGACAAGCGAGGUUUAAGCUUGGCAGAGUUGAUACAUCCAUUUUGCAUCAUGUUUUCCUACUGAUAUUUAUAUUUUUUGGGUCAUUAUUUCACUUUGUGAUGCAAUUAUAAUGCCUUUUCUCUGUUAACUUGCAAGAUUUACAUGGAAAGGGAGGAUACGGGCAGCUGGAAUUCUGGACCUAAAAGAGCUACAACAGAAAUACCUAUUCUACAGAGCUCCAAAUGACCUGAAAUUUCAUGGAGGUUUUUUUAUCGAAUAUAUUAAAAAUACUGAAGCAAAGAAAUACCAGAGGGGGACCGCAGCUGGCCUCUAGUGCACAUCUUCUGCUAUAUGAAGGGUUUUGACCUAGAAAAAAAUAAGACAAGACUUUCGGGACGAAGUGCCGCCGUCUCGACGUGGAACCUGGGCAGGAGCACUUUUCCCUUCGGCGGAGCGACUUCACCGGGGAAACUUCCCUCCGGGAGGGGGAAGUCGAAGCCAUCGACAUCACCAACGAUCCUCUAAUCAUGGGAGGACCAAUCUUCAUCAACAUCUUCACCAGCACCAUCUCAUCUCAAACCCUAGUUCAUCUCUUGUAUUCAAUCUUUGUAUCAAAACCUCAUAUUAGUACCUGUGGGUUGCUAGUAGUGUUGAUUACAUCUUGUAGUUGAUGCUAGUUGGUUUAUUUGGUGGAAGAUAAAAUGUUUAGAUCCUCAAGCAUAGUCAAUACCCCUAUGAUCUUUAACAUUAAUAUGAUAUGUGAGUAGUUACUUUUGUUCUUGAGGACAUGGGAGAAGUCUUGUUAUAAGUAAUCAUGUGAAGUUGGUACUUGUUCGAUAUUUUGAUGAUAUGUAUGUUGUUGCUUCCUUUAGUGGUGACAUGUGAACAUCGACUACAUGAAACUUCACCAUAAUUGAGCCUAAGGGAAGGCAUUAUGGAGUAAUAAGUAGAUGAUGGGUUGCUAGAGUGACAAAAGCUUAAACCCUAGUUUAUGCGUUAUUCUGUAAGGGGCUGAUUUGGAUCCAUAUGUUUCAUGCUAUGGUUAGAUUUAUCUUAAUUCUUCUUUCAUAGUUUUGGAUGCUUGCGAGAGGGGGUAAUCAUAAGUGGGUUGCUUGUUCAAGAAAGAACAACACGCAAGCACCGGUCCACCCACAUAUCAAAUUAUCAAAGUAACGAACGCGAAUCAACUAAACAUGAUGAACGUGACUAGACGACAAUUCCCAUGUGUCCUCGAGAGCACUUUGCUUUAUAUAAAAGAACUUUCCAGCUUGUCCUUUGCUAUAAAAAGGAUUGGGCCACCUUGCUGCACCUUUGUUACUAUUGCUACUUGUUACGAAUUACCUUGCUAUCAAACUAUCUGUUACCGCUACUUACAGUACUUGUAGAGAAUACCUAGCUGAAAACCGCUUAUCAUUUCCUUCUGCUCGUCGUUGGAUUCAACACUCUUACUUAUCUAAAGGACUAAGAUUGAUCCCCUAUACUUGUGGGUCAUGAGUCAGCAACUAUUGGCCGCACAUGUCUGAAUCUUUGACCGGUCAACCCCCCGGACCGAUCACCGGUGACGAGUUAUCGUCGCCAAAAUGAUCUUCUGCGGUAGAUUGGGCUAUCAUAGGUGACAUUCUGGGUCAUCACCGAGAGUGGUGAUCGGUAACAUUAUUUGGUUCGUCACUUAAAAUGCGAUCUUGCGUGACGUAAACAGUGGUAUCGUCAAAAUUUUAUUUUCCAUGACGACGCUUCAGUGACGAUGGGGGUGAUGGUCGGAAAAUGUCAUGGGGGCAUUUUCCGCGACGAAAGAGGGUUACACGUGACACAAGUAAAACAUCACAAAAUAGAGUAAAUUUUGUAGUGAAGCCAAAAUAUUAAGUGAAAUUAAUAGCUAGAACAAAGCGACGUGGGCCCUUCAUCGAGGGAAGCGGACCACUGCCCAUAAUGGGCCCCCUAAUGGGCUCGAAGUUUUUAGCUGGGCCAAAAUUGUCUUGGGCCUUUGAUUGACUGGAUUUUUUGUUGUCCAUAAAUGGUCCUUGUAAUAGGCCCAAAGUAAUAGCCGGGCCAAAAUCGAUGUGGGCUAAUUGGGCCUAUAGCCAUGUGUUGGAGAUAUGCCUUAGAGGCAAUCAUGUAUGAUGAUAUUUCCCAUGUGUUUAUGAAUAAAGAUAGUCCUUAGACGUUAUUAAUGAUGUGUAUCAACAAGUACGUGACAUGUUUGUGGGACUAUACAUUGUAUGCUGAUUGCCCUAAAAGGUCCCUAGUCGAAAGGGUUGUGUGGACGCGUAGCUGAUACGUCUCCAAUGUAUCUAUAAUCUUUUAUUGUUCCAUGCCAUUAAAGUAUCAUUCUGGGAUGUUUUGUAUUCAUUUAUUAGCAACUUUAUAUAAUUUUUUGGGACUAACCUAUUGACAUAGUGCCCAGUGUCGGUUGUUGUUUUUUGCUUGUUUUUUACUUCACAGAAUAUCCAUAUCAAACGAAGUCCAAAUGCAGCAAAAAAAUUUGGAGAUUUUUUCUGCCCAGAAGACACCCAGGAGGCCCAAGAUGUGCAUGAGAGGGUCCCUGUGGGGCCCACUAGGCACCAGGGCACGCCAAGGCCCCCAGGCAUGCCUUGGUGGGUAGUGGGGCCCACAGGCACCCCCUCCGUCGUCUCUCAGCUCUACAAAUACUCUAAUAUUCAACAAACCCUAGGGGAGUCGUUGAAACACAAUUCCAGCCGCUGCAAGUUCCAGAACCACGAGAUCCAAUCUAGAGGCCUUCUCCGGCACUCUGCCGGAGGGUUCAAUGAUCACGGAGGGUUCUUCAUGAUUGCUCUUCCCCCUCGGAUGAUGCAUGAGUAGUUUACCGCAGACCUACGGGUCCAUAGGCUGUAGCUAGAUGGCCUUUUCUCUCCUUUUGAUCUUCAAACAAUGUUCUCCUCGAUGUUCUUGGAGAUCUAUUUGAUGUAAUGACCUUUUGUGGUGUGUUUGUUGGGAUCCGAUGAAUUGCUAGUGUAUGAUCAGAUAUAUCUAUGAAUAUUAUGUGAGUCUUUGUUGAACUCUCUUAUGCAUGAUUGAUAUAGCCUCGUAUUUCUUCUCUGAAACUUUGGUUUGGUUUGGCCAAGUAGAUUGGUUUUUCUUGCCAUGGGAAGAGGUGCUUUGUGAUGGGUUCGAUCUUGGGUGCUCAAUCUCAAUGAAGGAAGGAGACAUGACACACAUGUAUCCUUGCCAUUAAGGAUAAAAAGAUGGGGUCUAUUCCUAUAUGAAUAGAUCUUGUCUAUAUCAUGUCAUCGUUCUUAUUGCAUUACUCUGUUUUUCCAUGAACUUAAUACACUAAAUGCAUGCUGGAUAGCGGUCGAUAUGUGGAGUAAUAGUAGUAGAUGCACGCAGGAGUCGGUCUACUCAUCUUGGACGUGAUGCCUAUAUACAUGAUCAUUGCCUUGGAUAUCGUCAUGAUUAUUGAUGUCUACUACGCAACCUUCUUCUUGUAGACGUUGUUGGGCCUCCAAGUGCAGAGGUUUGUAGGACAGUAGCAAAUUUCCCUCAAGUGGAUGACCUAAGGUUUAUCAAUCCGUGGGAGGCGUAGGUUGAAG
rnacentral:lncRNA from 1 species